GGUUGAUAUUCCCGUACCGGCGCUGGUGCGCCAGUACCGAGCCUCACUGUACUAACCUUCCUGAUGGUGGCCUUCGGGUUGCCGUGACGGUUGGGAUCUUGGUGGGUAGUAGGUAAGCGAUGGGGUGACGCAGGAGGGUAGUCCAUCCCGGGCGGUGGUUGUCCCGGGGUAAACGUGUAGGACGGUGUGUAGGCAAAUCCGCGCACCAUGUGUCUGAGACCUGAUGCCGAGCCA
rnacentral:rRNA from 1 species